GACUGAAAGAGCAAAAAUGUUGGGCCCGGUAUAAACAUAUAGGCCUGGUUUUACAGACAGGGCUUAGACUAAGCCAGGAUUAGGCCAUAGUUCAAUUAAGACAUCUGAGUAAUUUUUAUUAACAUGCCUUAGAAAAAAACAUUACUGGUGUGCAUCUUGAGACAAAGGCACUGAUAUAUUAUAAGAUCAGUCAGUGCAAGUUUCUUUCAGUUAAAACAGCUCAGAUUUACACUUUAGUCUGGGACUAGGCUUAAGCCUUGUCUGUGAAACCAGGGGAUAGGCUUCACGGACAUUUCUUAGCUUGAGCCAGGACUAUGUGUCACAGGUCGGGGGGGCCAAGCCGGACUGCACCCGCCCCUGAAACCCAGGAUCACCUCAGAGAGCGUACCAGAAGAACCAGACGGACGAAAAACGAAGCCAGACCUCGGACGCCGGGGAGGCGUGGAGUCGUCGGCAGUUCGUGCCUGUACGGGGCCGGCAAGAGCCAGGAUAGUCUGUCACCCGUCCCGGAAUGAGGGGGGGAUAUCCGGGUAAGUAGAGCUCGUGGAUGUUUCGGUCGAGACCGGGAAAAGGAAUAAUUCUCGUGUCCACCUCCUUUUACAGGGACAUCACAUGCAGCGUCCAGCCCAGAGGAUCCUGCAAUCUCUUUUCAUAGGGACAUCACAUGCAGCAUUCGUCCCAGGGGAUCCUACGAUCUGCACAGCAGAGUAAGCAAUCGACAGCAGGUAUGUAGUCUUUAAUGGGUGAUGGGCUUACGGCUGGGAGAUGCUUCAGUUAAGACCGAGAAAGGAAUAAUUCGUGUGUCCACCUCCUUUCAUAGGGACAUCACAUGCGGCGUUCAGCCCAGAGGAUCCUGCGAUCUGCACAGCAGAGUAAGUAACCAACAGGACAUCACAUGCGGCGUUCAGCCCAGAGGAUCCUGCGAUCUGCGCAGCGGAGUAAGUAAUCAACAGUAAGUAGGUGUUCUUGAAUAAGUAAUGGGGCUUACGGCUGGGAGAUGCUUCGGUCAGUGCCUGGGUGUGGAUUACGGUGACGGUGGUGGGCUCUCGGGGUGGUGAGCGUCCGGCAUUAACUCUACAUAUCUUCCCCACACUCUGUAACUUCACUUCAAACGAUUUAUUGUGCAGACACACCACUUCAGACACGGCACACCCACUCUUAGUGCAAAUAGAGCCAGCACUCACCCAACGAUGGCUCCGUCCACUUCACCACGUUAUCACUCCCAGUCCAGAUGUAUACAAUUGAUCGAAGUCCCAGAUCAGGUCUCUUAACUUCCCUCCGAUAGUGAUGGCGCGGCCUGGUCUCCACUUGCUUUCCAGAACUCACACUCUUUCUGUCCCGAAUAUCUCCACUCGAUCGCUGAUAUAACUGUUGCACAGCCAGAUAGCCGAAACCCCACAAUAGUCCUCGAAUACCUCCACACGCCAGCCCAAACGUCCCAGAAAUUCCCCUCCCUUUUGGUCUCUGCACUUCUCUUUUUAUGUGGUUACUCCGCCUCCAUAAUCCUCUCACAGAUCGCCACGUCAAACUCCCCACACCAGAUGUCAAUCUAUCAUUAGCGUUGUUAUUGUGACAUCGGGCGCAACCCGGAAGUGGACCGGUGUUACCGCGACACCGUCCCGGGGGGAACACAAUUCCAACGGGACUUAGUUCCGCUUCUCUUUCGUCACCCCGUGACAUAUGCCUUAGUUAAAUUAGGAUAUUUAAUGCGCUUUUAUAAAAAUGCAUUAGAAAAAAACAUUACUGGUGUGCGUCUUGAGACAAAACAAUGGCACUGACACCUUUAAAGAUAUGUGAGGGCAAGUUAUUGUCAGUUGAGACUCAAACAUUAAUUUUAGUCUGGGACUAGCCGUAAGCCUUGUCUGUGAAACAGGGCAAUAGAGCAUGAAUAGCUGUGAUGUGAAAUAAAGCAAAAUCUAAUACAACCA
ensembl:lncRNA